rnacentral:rRNA from 1 species
CCUACGGGAGGCAGCAGUGGGGAAUAUUGGGCAAUGGGCGCAAGCCUGACCCAGCAACGCCGCGUGAAGGAAGAAGGCUUUCGGGUUGUAAACUUCUUUUAGGAGGGAAGCGCAGAAGACGGUACCUCUUGAAUAAGCCACGGCUAACUACGUGCCAGCAGCCGCGGUAAUACGUAGGUGGCAAGCGUUGUCCGGCUUUACUGGGUGUAAAGGGCGUGUAGCCGGGCUGACAAGUCAGAUGUGAAAUUCCGGGGCUCAACCCCGGACCUGCAGUUGAAACUGUUGGGCUUGAGUAUCGGAGAGGUAGGCGGAACUCGUAGUGUAGCGGUGAAAUGCGUAGAUAUUAGGAGGAACACCAGUUGCGAAGGCGGCCUGCCGGACGACAACUGACGGUGAGGCGCGAAAGCGUGGGGAGCAAACAGGAUUAGAUACCCUAGUAGUC